rnacentral:rRNA from 1 species
CGUGUAGGCGGGUAAAUAAGUCAGAAGUGAAAUCCAAUAGCUCAACUAUUGAACUGCUUUUGAAACUGUAUACCUAGAAUGUGGGAGAGGCAGAUGGAAUUUCUGGUGUAGGGGUAAAAUCCGUAGAGAUCAGAAGGAAUACCGAUUGCGAAGGCGAUCUGCUGGAACAUUAUUGACGCUGAGACGCGAAAGCGUGGGAGCAAACA